GCGGCCCCNUGGACAAAGANUGACGCUCAGGUGNGAAAGCGUGGGGAGCAAACNGGAUUNGNUACCNUGGUNNUNCACGCNGUAAANGAUGUCGACUUNGNNGUUGUUCCCUNGAGGAGUGGCUUCCGGAGNUAACGCGUUAAGUCGACCGCCUGGGGAGUACGGCCGCAAGGUUAAAACUCAAAUGAAUNGACGGGGGCCCGCACAAGCGGUGGAGCAUGUGGUUUAAUUCGAUGCAACGCGAAGAACCUNACCUACUCUUGACAUCCACGGAAUUUGGCAGAGAUGCCUUAGUGCCUUCGGGAACCGUGAGACAGGUGCUGCAUGGCUGUCGUCAGCUCGUGUUGUGAAAUGUUGGGUUAAGUCCCGCAACGAGCGCAACCCUUAUCCUUUGUUGCCAGCGAUUCGGUCGGGAACUCAAAGGAGACUGCCGGUGAUAAACCGGAGGAAGGUGGGGAUGACGUCAAGUCAUCAUGGCCCUUACGAGUAGGGCUACACACGUGCUACAAUGGCGCAUACAAAGAGAAGCGACCUCGCGAGAGCAAGCGGACCUCACAAAGUGCGUCGUAGUCCGGAUCGGAGUCUGCAACUCGACUCCGUGAAGUCGGAAUCGCUAGUAAUCGUGGAUCAGAAUGCCACGGUGAAUACGUUCCCGGGCCUUGUACACACCGCCCGUCACACCAUGGGAGUGGGUUGCAAAAGAAG
rnacentral:rRNA from 1 species